AUGGCCAACGCCACAGGGCUGAACGCACCAGAAGUCGCAGCCUCGAUGGGGUUGAUCCUGGCGGCUGUCGUGGAGGCGGCAGCACUGCUGGGCAACGGCGCACUGCUGGUUGUGGUGCUGCGCACGCCGGGACUACGCGACGCCCUCUACCUCGUGCACCUGUGCGUAGUGGACCUGCUGGCUGCCGGCUCCAUCAUGCCGCUGGGCCUGCUGGCCGCUCCGCCGCCGGGGCUGGGCCGCGUGCGCCUGGGCCCCGCGCCCUGCCGCGCGGCGCGCUUCCUCUCGGCGGCGCUGCUGCCCGCCUGUACGCUCGGCGUGGCGGCGCUCGGCCUGGCGCGCUACCGCCUCAUAGUGCACCCGCUGCGGCCUGGCGCGCGGCCUCCGCCCACCCUCGUGCUCACCGCCGUGUGGGCGGCGGCGGGGCUGCUGGGCGCGCUCUCCUUGCUCGGGCCGCCGCCCGCACCGCCCCCUGCCCCGGCUCGCUGCUCGGUCCUGGCCGGGGGCCUCGAGCCCUUCCGGCCGCUCUGGGCGCUGCUGGCCUUCGCGCUGCCCGCCCUCCUGCUGCUCGGAGCCUACGGCGGCAUCUUCCUCGUGGCGCGCCGCGCUGCCCUGCGGCCCCCGCGGCCCGCGCGCGGGUCCCGGCCGCGCUCCGACUCUCUGGACAGCCGCCUCUCCAUCUUGCCGCCCCUUCGGCCUCGCCCGCCCUGGGGCAAAGCAGCCCUGGCCCCGGCGCUGGCCGUGGGCCAGUUCGCAGCCUGCUGGCUGCCUUACGGCUGUGCGUGCCUAGCGCCCGCUGCCCAGGCCGCCGUGGCAGAGGCGGCCGUCACCUGGGUAGCCUACUCGGCCUUCGCGGCUCACCCCUUCCUGUACGGCCUGCUGCAGCGCCCUGUACGCCGGACGCUGGGCCGCCUCGCCCGACGAGUGCUACCCCGGCCCCCGCGGGCCUGCACUUCGCGGGCCUGGCACCCGCGGGCCCUCCUGCAGCACCUCCAUAGACCUCCAGAGGGCCCUGUGCUAGGCCCUUCUGGGACACCAGAACAAGCCCGGGAUUUGGCAGGAAGGGAGAGCCUGAGCAUGCCAGAGGCCACGUGAGAGAUGUCUCCCAAGGGACUGCUCACCUGGCACCAUGCUGGGUGAGGCGAAGGGGACUGCAUGGCCCGAGAGCUGCUGGAGCUUGGUGACCUGUGCCAAGAAGAGAGGUCAGGAGUCAGAGGCAGCUCAGUUCGGGAAGGGGUGCCUUGGGCUGCGGUCACUCACCUCAGCUGAGGUCACAGCCCCAUACUGACCCUGGACGGAGAAGCCCUGUGGGGACAAAGGCAGCACCUCCAGGAUGACAGCACAGAUCUGGCGCACACACAAGAUGAUGGCAUCAGGCACCCCAGAGACGGUGACAGCACGCUCUGUGGAGUUGGGGAGCAGGUCCCCUGCCACCUGCACCUGGGCACCUGUAGUCUGCAAGCAGAGAACGGGGGCCACUUCCAGCUACUCCCAUAACCCAGAGCAUGCCCAGGCUCGGAGCUCCCCACAGGACAGGAGGCUGUAAGCCCAGGUCUCCCCUCGAAACUGAAGGGAGCAGCGCAGAGGUCCUGGGCAGGAAGACUGGGUUGGCCGUGCAUGCCCCUGCUGCUCCCCCUCCCCUGGAGCACCUUCCUGCUGGGGGAUGAAGGAGGGAAGCCUGCCCGCGUCCCACUCCAAUGAGAGAACCCUGCUCUCAGCUUGGCCUUCCAUCCCACCCGUAGCCACUCUGUGGAGUCAGAGUCCUGUUCCUCCCGGGGAACCACCCGUGGCCCCCAGCCCCUCAGACAGCCACAGACCUCGUCCAGCUUGAAGGCAAUCAUGGAGACUGCAUGGAAGACGGCUGCUGUAGAUCCGGUGAUGGUGGUGAUGCGCUCAGGGCAGGAGCCCUCAGAGAUGGUGAUCCGGGCGCUGCUCUGUGGGUGCAGGACAAGCACCAGGCAACGGGGCUCCUUCUCUGCUUCCUGGCCAAGAACUUGCCUGCCCCUCCACUCACCAGGCCCCAGCCAAGGCUGGAAACGGCCACCUUCUAGGGGCACUCACUGGUCAUCCCAGAUGGUGGAUUGAGGGACAAGGUGAGGCAGGCAUCUCCCCUCCCCUCCAAACCAGGUGCCCUGGGCUCCUCUCCCAAACUCCGUCCUCACCUGUUCCCGGAUUCGCUUUACAGUCUCUCCUUUCUGCAGGAGACAAAAUGGAGGCAAAAUAGAGAAUGGCUCUUAGGCCAAGCAGCCGUUGCUUCCUUUCCUGGACUGAGGUCUCAGGUUGAAGGGGACAUACAGAACAGAACGAGGUACCUACCUUCCCAAUUAUGCUGCCCACUUCCUGCAAACAAGACAAGAGUGGAGUCAGCAGGGUAUCAAUACCCCAGGCCCAGCGCUUUCCCCUACUUGGGGUAGGGGCUCUGCAGGAGACAGGAUACCCAAGAUCAAACUCCCUCCCAGAGGACCAGGUCUUGCCUCGUCUUGCACUUUGCCCCCUCCUGAGCCACAGCGAAGCACUCCCCCACACGCACUUACUUUCCCAUGCAUCAGCAUCCGCAGCGUGAGGGUGAUGCUGAGCUCUGGCUCCUCCUCCAGCCCCGCAUCUGAGCCGCUCAUCCUGUCAGGCGGGGCUGGGGCCGAGGCUGCCUGGGAGUGCGUCCACGCUGUGGCCUGGCCGGCUCUGCGGGGGCAGUGGGAGAUGGGUUAGAGAAGAGCUCAGCUUUCUUUCAGGUCCCUUGCCCUUACAUGGGAACCCCAGAGCCAAGCUAGACAAACUUCCAGAGCAGAGAGACAGCGUGGACCACAAGUUUCAAGUGUCACAUUGACCAGUUUGCUGUGUGCAGCUCACUAGCUGUGUAAGCCUGGCUGACAUAUUUAACCCUUCUGAGCCUCAGCUUCCCCAUCUGUAAGAAGGGGAUACCCAGUCCAGUCCCCAGAGUUAUGAGAAUUAAAAUGAGAUAGGUGCAUAUGUGAUAGGCACCCAGUUUCCACAAGUAUCCUUCCCUUCCCCUCGUACGUCAGAAGAAUUAACUAUGGGAGUCCAGAGAGGGAGCCUCCUACCUGACCUCUUGGAAGAGGGGACCCUUGUGGAUUGGCCCUUGAAGGUUGGGUUAAAAUCGAAACGUUACUUCAGACAAGAGGCAUUUGCGUCCAGGGACCAGAGC